UACAGAGGUCCCAAGCGUUGUUCGGAUUCACUGGGCGUAAAGGGUGCGUAGGUGGGUCUGUAAGUCAGUGGUGAAAUCUCCGAGCUUAACUCGGAAACUGCCAUUGAUACUAUAGGUCUUGAAUUAUCUGGAGGUAAGCGGAAUAUGUCAUGUAGCGGUGAAAUGCUUAGAGAUUACAUGGAAUACCAAUUGCGAAGGCAGGUUACUACUAAUGGAUUGACGCUGAUGGACGAAAGCGUGGGGAGCGAACAGG
rnacentral:rRNA from 1 species